GGAAGACCUAGUUGUAGGUGUUGGGCGAGUUCAGCUGACCAUGCAGCAGAACAAGUUCCCUCAAAAGUUUUGCUUGGAUGAUUUGUUAUCGACUUAGAUGAAGUUGGAGAAUUGAUAAAAUUGAAAAUGGCAAAAUUAUACUAGGAACACAUUGAUGAAUAUUGAAGAGCUUGAAUAGUGGUUGACAUUAUCAACAUUGUAUUGAGUCCCUGUGAGAGGA
rnacentral:lncRNA from 1 species